UACGUAGGGGGCAAGCGUUGUCCGGAAUCAUUGGGCGUAAAGAGCGCGUAGGCGGUCCGUUAAGUCCGCUCUGAAAGCCCGGGGCUCAACCCCGGGAGGCGGGCGGAUACUGUCGGGCUAGAGUCCGGAAGAGGCGAGUGGAAUUCCUGGUGUAGCGGUGAAAUGCGCAGAUAUCAGGAGGAACACCAAUGGCGAAGGCAGCUCGCUGGGACGGUACUGACGCUGAGGCGCGAAAGCUAGGGGAGCGAACAGG
rnacentral:rRNA from 1 species